UUUGCAGGUUGCCACUACAGCUGUAAAACUGCACACCAUGCAGUCUGCUGGGAAACUUUAAAAGCCUGGGCAAUGCAAACACCAUAGCCAGAUGUUAACUGGACUUUAAUGAGCUUAACGAGGUAUUGGUGUCUAUCCUCAUUAAUAAGGCAGCAAGAAGCACAUGGAUGACUUACCCACUGCAGAAUCCGUUAGUUCCUUUUAUCAAAGGUUUGUUAUCAAAGGAAGCCUGGCUGGAGCUGCUGUAUAUGUGGCAUAUGAUCAGGGGCUGCUGGGCAGUGGCACACAAGGUGCUGAAGCACUCAAAAAAGCUCAAGCAGCACUGCCUCCAGCUAUCCAGGAGUGGACGAGUUACCUAGGCUGGGAGCUCCCACCCACUCCAAAAUUUGACUUUUCCCUCUCUGAUUCCUGGAAUAAAGGAGUGCAGUCAGUCAUGUCUGCCUUGUCUGUAGCUCCCGCCAGGGCCUGUGAAUACACGGUGGAAGGCUGGAAGUAUGUGAAGGAUCUUGUCAAAUGAACACGUUCUCCAGGGUUCAUGAUUCUCUUUGUCCUGUGUUGUCUUUGAGAGGAUGCAGAGUCCGUCGCUCUGGAGGGCAGCUCAGCCGUGCAAUACAGUGGAGGUAAGACACCAACCUGUCUAUUGAAUGCUCUUGGUAACGACCACGGUCUCUGUGAUCAAAGUCAUGGAAGCGAUCCUGGCGACUGAAAUCUGAGUGAUACCUAUCAUUCAUUGCCAUUCGUUUUGCCUCUGGCCAGUACGGAUCAUCCCUCCUGAGAAAAGAACGUAGUCAUUUUAGUCCAGAUAAUGACUUUUGAUAUUGUUCCCCCCUCCAAACUAAAGUGCAAACUAGUGCAAACUAAAAGAAGGGUAAUUAAGUUCAAAAUGGAGUUGAAAAACCUUAGAGAGGAUAGCUUGACUAGGGGUCUUAAACAGUCAGCUCAAUGCAGUCAACAACUGCUGACUGAUGGAAGCUGAGAGCAUAUGUAUGGCUUUUUAUAGCCCAGGCUGAUGAGAAAGAACCUGGCAGCAAUGUCUCCCACUUGCAUAAUCUGUAUUUGCUGGCUUCACCUGCCAUCUAUGUCAUAUGGUCUCCUCAUUGCAGACCGACGUUCCUGUUCAUAGCGCAGUUGCUCAUGCUGGCGCCGCAGCUCUUCUCUUUCUCGUUGAAUGCGGUCUUGUUCUCUUCUCCUUUCAUGCUCUAUGUGCAUUCGUUCUCUUUCCAGUCUUUCCCUUUCCAUCCGUUCUCGUUCAAGACGCUGCCUUUCAAUUUCCAGUCUCUCCCGAGCAAUCUCAAGCCUCUCCCUUUCUUCUCGUUCACGGAUAGUCUGUAGGUGCUGCUGUCUCUCCCGACGCUCACGUGUGCUAUUUUAACAGAAACAAAAGGUUACAGAUGUAAUACUUCAACAAAUAAAGGAAGUUAAAAAGAAAAACAAAAAGAAGAAAAAGAGAAAGAAGCGUUAAAAAUUAAUAGCACAGUGACUGUUCAGCUCCUUGAAAUUAUACCUGGGAAGGGUGUGGGAGGGAGGGCAUGGAGGGAAGACACUCAGUGUACACUGGAAUUACUUGUAUUAAGAGACCGAUCAUAUUACUCCCACAAAACCCACCUGUGGGGGCAAAUAAUUCCAUAUGGUCAGGGGAAUUUGAAUCCAAAUGCCCAUAGCUCAUUUCUUAUACUGAAAUAAAGUAUCUGUGAAGAAUAUUUUAUUUCUGUCAAGAAAGCCAGAAUGGUAUGCUGGAUAAUGACUUCACUCAAGCUCAGAAAUCUAACUAUGAGAGACAAACUUCUUCCUCUCCAUUAAGAAUGACAAAAGCAUUUUUCUCCUGGUUAAUUCAACUACUUUUAGGUGAGGAAUAAAAGUUUUGUAAUGUGUGGAAAACAUGGAAUUCAAGUCACAGUUUUAGCAAGGAAUUUGAAGGAUGGCCAUUAUGACCUUUAUCCUGUAUUAAACAUCAUGAAAACAAAAAUAAAACCCCACCCAAAAUAAAUAAAUACCCGAAUUAAGUUCAAUAGAUAUGUGACCCAGAAACAUUUAACAAGUUGCAAGUGAAAAAAAACCCCUGAAAGCCUCUUAUCUCUUAGUCAUUUUAAUUAAAAUGAAAAUAAAAUAUGCAUUAUAGGGUAAAAAAUGUCAAACAAUUUCAUAGUUGCUCUUACCGGCGCUGCUCUGCCUCCCUCAUUUUUCGCUGUGCUUUAAUUUUGUCAAAUGGCACAAUGCCUUGUCUCUCUCUGCUCUCUGAUUUGCGAUCCUGGCUCUUAAUGCUCUGUAUUUAAUAUUGAAAGUAGAGAAACUUAAUUUAUUAAAGGACAACUAUUACAAACAA